UAUAAAGUAAGCUAAAUUAAGCUAUUGGGUUCAUGCCCCGACUAUGAACUUUGUUCCUUUAUAA
rnacentral:tRNA from 3 species